GUAAAUUGGCGGUUUAUCAUAUAUUACUGCGGACAAACCUAAAACAAGCGUCACUUUAAGUCUCACCAAUUAGAACUUCCCCCAAAUAAAUCCUGCAGUUUUCCCUCUCCCUUGCCGGCGUUUCAUCAGAUCGCCAUAGCCGGCGAUUCUCUCUUCGCUCCUCUUCUAUUCUCGCUGAGGCCAUCGAUUCGAGCACGAGAAGGAAUGUCGAAGCUUCUGGUCAAUUCUCGCCGAGGCUAUCGAUUCAAACACGAGAAGGAGGCUAUCGAUUCAAACACGAUGAAGCUCGUAUGGAGUUUGCUUAUCUCCGCAGCGGCUUCAAUGAUCUCAACUCCCAACUUCAAACGAAGUUCAGCUAGGGAGCAAAUGCUGAAGGAGUUCCGAAAAGACUGACCUUUGACGAAAUUCAAAGUAAGACAUACAUGGAAGUAAAGGGAACUGGAACUGCUAACCAAUGACAUGGAUAUUUUUUAGGAGGACAUUGUUUAGCUGAUAGAAGUACAAGCAGGCCAAGUUUAGUUACAUAGCAGUACAAGCAGAUUUGUAGAGAUCAUGGUUCCUGUCUUCUCCCGAGAUGCAUGGCGUUGUGUAUGGCAUAUGAUUCAGAAUGACUUGGUCCACGGUUGAGGACUUGACUUUGCACUUCGUAGAUGCGUUGAGCCUGCUCAUGAGAAAAUUGGAGUUGUAGAUGCUCAAUGGAUUGUUCAUCAAGGUGUCCCUUCCCUUGGAAAUCAGGAAUGAAGAACUUCAACAAAUCAACAAGAAAAUUCAUUUAAUGCCUCCAAACUAUCGAUGGUAACAAUUUUCCUUAGAUAAUGUUGUGUAUGCAGCUCGGGCAUUGGGAAUGGAGCAAGGCUGCACAAUGUGCACAGGUUUCUCGAGUCUCAUUGUGUUUUCACUCCAAGGCGUAUAGGAAGUUGCGUCACGUCAUCUAGUAGCCCAAGAUCACUCGAUGGAAGUAACUUUGCUGAUCAUGAGUACUGUUCAUUGAAUGUAUCUCUAGGAUUUUUUACUGUUUUUUCCCUUAUGUUGAAUUGAUGUAAAAUAUUACUCCAUGAAUUUUAAUACAUUUAAUGGUGUAAUUCUGAAGUGCUUAUGGUUUUUAUGUACAACAAAUGAUUUAUUUAAGUAAUCAUUCCCUUA